rnacentral:rRNA from 1 species
AUUGAACGCUGGCGGCAGGCCUAACACAUGCAAGUCGAACGAACGGCGGACGGGUGAGUAAUGUAUGGGAAACUGCCUGAUGGCGGGGGAUAACUACUGGAAACGGUAGCUAAUACCGCAUACCAUCAGAUGUACCCAUAUGGGAUUAGCUAGUAGGUGGGGUAAAGGCUUACCUAGGCGACGAUCCCUAGCUGGUCUGAGAGGAUGAUCAGCCACACUGGAACUGAGACACGGCCCAGACUCCUACGGGAGGCAGCAGUGGGGAAUAUUGCACAAUGGGCGCAAGCCUGAUGCAGCCAUGCCGCGUGUAUGAAGAAGGCCUUCGGGUUGUAAAGUACUUUCAGUCGGGAGGCGUUACCGGCAGAAGAAGCACCGGCUAACUCCGUGCCAGCAGCCGCGGUAAUUC